GCGUGAGUGAAGAAGGCCUUAGGGUUGUAAAGCUCUUUCAGUGGGGAAGAUAAUGACGGUACCCACAGAAGAAGCCCCGGCUAACUCCGUGCCAGCAGCCGCGGUAAGACGGAGGGGGCUAGCGUUGUUCGGAAUUACUGGGCGUAAAGCGCACGUAGGCGGUUUGUUUAGUCAGAUGUGAAAGCCCCGAGCUUAACUCGGGAAUUGCAUUUGAUACUGGCAGACUGGAGUCCGGUAGAGGGUAGCGGAAUUCCCAGUGUAGAGGUGAAAUUCGU
rnacentral:rRNA from 1 species